rnacentral:rRNA from 1 species
GGCGGACGGGUGAGUAACGCGCAGGAAUCUACCCAGAAGCGGGGGACAACGUGGGGAAACCCACGCUAAUACCGCAUAAGCCCCACGGGGUAAAGCAGGGGAUCUUCGGACCUUGCGCUUUUGGAUGAGCCUGCGUUGGAUUAGCUAGUUGGAGAGGUAACGGCUCCCCAAGGCGACGAUCCAUAGCUGCUCUGAGAGGAAGAUCAGCCACACUGGGACUGAGACACGGCCCAG